CAGACAGUCAGACAGAGAUAUGACAUUACACGUUUCACGUCCAACAAGUCGUAACUUUCAUAGGUUUCUUCGAAGCAAAUUAAAAAGUUAAACAACGCAGAUCGAAUGAGUCAACUGUUUAUAAUGUCAGCUGAAGUUGUUGUGUGACCUGGCCAACUGGGGCCAAUAAAUAAAGCAGCCAAUAAUGCAAGCCAUGUCUUCUGAAGCUAAAUAAUUUCUGUUGCAAGGUUAACUUUUCCCUGUCAAGUUGUAAAUCUUCAAGAUAUUGGUGCCUUCGCCAGAUCCAAUUCUUUACUGCAAUCUAUUUUAAGGACACCAGCAAGAAAAUGCUGCUACUCAAGAUUUAACGGUGACCACCACUUAGUUCUAAUUUAAGACAAUGUUAAUCCCUCACCGCCGUUAUAGUUGUUUGGAGACUGACGAGAGAUUGCUGGAACUGAAGAUUGAUAAUUUGUGUAGACUUAGAUAAAUUACAAGUGUAUAUCUGGGCUCCCUUCUUUUCUGUGGCCCCGUUUCCCUAACUAACCACUAACCAACGCCCGCCGGUGGUCACUCACCCGCUGUGAUAACCAGGAGGAUGAGGAGGGCUCUGGUCGAACGGGGACUUGGAAGGCGCAUGAUCCGAAGGGACUUUUGAGGGUCAUGAGUCUUAACUAAGAAGUCUACUAAGACUAAUCGCUCUCUAGUAAAACUGGCCUCGCACUCUUCUCUCUUCUUCACUGGCCAGGUAAUCUCCCUGGUCGCAGUCAAUUAAGUCGGUGUCUCCCCGUCUUCAUUGACUGCAAUUACAAGUCAGCAAAACAUAGCAAUUUACAAUUUGGUACACACGGUGAUCACCGUGUUUGACACUUGGAACUGUUCACUUCAACUCCUGCAUUAAAAAUUAUGCAAUUCAUGAGUUUCGGUGCCGGUGAUAUACUAUGUGGUGAUAGUAUGUUAUAUGGAUAUUAGUUUUUAGUAUUUUAAAAAAUAUCAGUGAUGUAAUUAUUCUAAUCUUUCAUAAUUUUACUGCAAAAUUUAUAUGAUUAAUUUAAAUCGACAUUUUUGAUGUAUAAGAUAUACAUGGGUUUUGGUCUGUGAUUUAUGCAAAAUUUAAGAUUAGUUUCUCAAAUUGAUUUAAAGCUUAUCGAUAAAUUUCCUCACAAUGUUCUACAACUUUCUACGUACUCAAAAAUGCUUCAUAUGAGCUUAUUUGAAGUCAGCACGUGACAACCUUUUCCGAUUCCAAGCAACACUUAGAAAAUAUUGCGAAAAAAUUGCAAAAUGACAGAUCACACAAAUUGAGAAAAUAAACAAAAAUAGAAAACAAUC